AUUCAACAACAGAAGAUGAACACAGGGUCCCUACAAAUGUGUCCAUUUACCCGCAUUAGUCACCAUGGAAGCACACAGCACCCUUACCCCUGGACUGAGCAUAGCAACAAUCAAGACCGUAGGACUGCCCAAGGCUAUGGUCACAAGUGUAAACAUCACUUGCAUAUCGGGAAGAGAAAAAGCAGAAGACGGAAGUGGGGGAACUGGUGCUUGGCCACACCGUCGGGAACAGUAGCAGGCUUCUCCACGUUCCCGCUCACGGCAGACUGAGAGCCAUCAAGCUUGGCAAGUGUGGCGUUGCUCACCACGGAGCUGGCCCCCAG